rnacentral:sRNA from 1 species
AGCAGCCGCGGUAAUUCCAGCUCCAAUAGCGUAUAUUAAAGUUGUUGUGGUUAAAAAGCUCGUAGUUGAACCUUGGGCCUGGCUGGCCGGUCCGCCUCACCGCGUGUACUGGUCCGGCCGGGCCUUUCCCUCUGUGGAACCCCAUGCCCUUCACUGGGUGUGGCGGGGAAACAGGACUUUUACUGUGAAAAAAUUAGAGUGCUCCAGGCAGGCCUAUGCUCGAAUACAUUAGCAUGGAAUAAUAGAAUAGGACGUGUGGUUCUAUUUUGUUGGUUUCUAGGACCGCCGUAAUGAUUAAUAGGGACAGUCGGGGGCAUCAGUAUUCAAUUGUCAGAGGUGAAAUUCUUGGAUUUAUUGAAGACUAACUACUGCGAAAGCAUUUGCCAAGGAUGUUUUCAUUAAUCAGGAACGAAAGUUAGGGGAUCGAAGACGAUCAGAUACCGUCGUAGUCUUAACCAUAAACUAUGCCGACUAGGGAUCGGACGGUGUUAUAUUUUGACCCGUUCGGCACC